rnacentral:lncRNA from 1 species
CUAUGUAUAAGACUUUUUCCUUUUUAGUUAUGUUUUGACUAUGAGGGUGAGCCCGGUAGUUUGUCUUGGCCCCCGCUAAGUACUCAUGUUUAGAGGUGGUGUUGGACAAGUUGUGUAUUAUGCUUGAGCUUGACUCAUCUAUGGUAUUUUUGUAUCAUUCUUAUUUUUGUUUCUCUUGUUCCCUUAGUCCCGAUUUCCCCCUUGAUUAUGCUUAUCGCUUAUGGUCAUUUUUUUUGCUUCCGCGACCAAGGAUGUGUAAUGAUACGCUAUGAG